rnacentral:tRNA from 1 species
GGGCCAGUAGCUCAGUCGGUUAGAGCGUACCCCUGAUAAGGGUAAGGUCGGUGGUUCGAGUCCACCCUGGCCCACCA